rnacentral:rRNA from 1 species
UACGUAGGGUGCAAGCGUUGUCCGGAAUUAUUGGGCGUAAAGAGCUCGUAGGCGGUUCGUCGCGUCGGCUGUGAAAACCCGGAGCUCAACUCCGGGCCUGCAGUCGAUACGGGCGGACUCGAGUUCGGCAGGGGAGACUGGAAUUCCUGGUGUAGCGGCGAAAUGCGCAGAUAUCAGGAGGAACACCGGUGGCGAAGGCGGGUCUCUGGGCCGAUACUGACGCUGAGGAGCGAAAGCGUGGGGAGCGAACAGG